rnacentral:rRNA from 1 species
AGUGAACGCUGGCGGUAGGCCUAACACAUGCAAGUCGAACGGCAGCACAGGAGAGCUUGCUCUCUGGGUGGCGAGUGGCGGACGGGUGAGGAAUACAUCGGAAUCUGCCCAGUCGUGGGGGAUAACGUAGGGAAACUUACGCUAAUACCGCAUACGACCUUCGGGUGAAAGAGGGGGAUCGCAAGACCUCUCGCGAUUGGAUGAGCCGAUGUCGGAUUAGCUAGUUGGCGGGGUAAUGGCCCACCAAGGCGACGAUCCGUAGCUGGUCUGAGAGGAUGAUAGGCAACACGGGAGGGGAAACAGGGCCAAGACGCCUAGGGGAGGCAGCAGAGGGGAAUAGGAGAAAGGGGGGGGAAGCCUGACACAACGAUCCGGGGUGGGAAAAAAAGGCUUGGGGGUUGGAAGGCCUUUUUGUGGGAAAAAAAAUCUUUCAGCAUAAUACCAGGGGGGAAUGACGGUACCAAAAAAAGAAGCACCGGCUAACUCCGUG